GAAAUGCGAUAAGUAGUGUGAAUUGCAGAAUUCAGUGAAUCAUCGAAUCUUUGAACGCACAUUGCGCCCCUUGGUAUUCCAUGGGGCAUGCCUGUUCGAGCGUCAUUUGUACCCUCAAGCUCUGCUUGGUGUUGGGUGUUUGUCCCGUCUCCGCGCGUGGACUCGCCCCAAAGUGAUUGGCAGCCGGCGUACUGGUCCCGGAGCGCAGCACAUGUCGCGCAAACGAGUGCCUUGGUACGGCGGCGUCCAUAAGCCCCUCUCUCACGCUCUUGACCUCGGAUCAGAUAGGGAUACCCGCUGAACUUAGGC
rnacentral:misc_RNA from 1 species